GUCACAAUCUGGUGUGCUUGAUUUCCAAGGACGCUUCGCAGUCCAGCGCAUCAAAGUACCGCGAGAGCAAUUCGAAUGGAAAGCUUUAGAACCGCUCUCGCGGUAAGUUUGAUGUCAUACUUCGAACAGUCUGCGCAUCACGCAGUCGUAUACGUAUGCGCAGUGCUUUUUAAGGUGGAGCGCAAAUCCGUGCCACAGUGACAUGAAGAUGGCGGUGAGUGUCCCUUUCUUUAUACACGACGAUAUUGUGUGAAAAGCUUUAGUUUCUUUUUGCGAUUUUAUGUCGUUUAGUGUUCAGAUUUUUUUAUUAAAAAUUAUACAGGGAGGUUUUACUCAUAGCUAAACAUCCUACAAUAAUAACUCAAAUUUAACAGCAAACAAAAGACUCGACGCUCUUCAUGAAAAGACUAUAUUGAUUGUACAAUUUAAUGCUUUUUAAAGAAAUAUCGGUUUAGGUUAUGUUUUCUUAACAGUCAAAGAUUGCCAGUACACAGUGGUUACAAAAAUAACUUAAUACCUUUAUUUUGGCCAUGACACUUGUUGGUUGUGGGAGGGGGGCAUCUUUAAAGAAAAUACAACAAUUAUAAUACUCUCUAUGUAAUCUAAUAUCAGUGUGGAUGUAUAUUUUAGUUUUUCUGUUUUAUUUUGUAGUGUUUAAAACGACAAUUAAGGUUCACGGUAAUCCUUUGUCUAAAACUCGUCAUAACAGAUGUAACAGCAGAUGGCAAUGUAGCCUAGGAGAGACCAAAGACUGUAAAAUAAGAUGGAUGACGUCUAAACGUCCUUCCAGAAAGCCAGAAUGGCACCCACUGAGAACGGACAGGAAGCUUUUAUGUAAUAAAUGAAGGUGGAUACUUGUAGGAAAUUGGUAGUAAUGGAUGUUUGUAUGUACUGUGAAUAUACUAUGUGUUUAAAAGUAAAACUCUAUACCUAUACAUUAUUUUUAUAGUUGUAUAUUGACUCAUGAUUUUUACUGUACAUGUCUUUCUGUGUUAAUAAAUUCUCCUGAUGAAUAAAUUUGAUUUCUUUA